AACGAACGCUGGCGGCAUGCCUAACACAUGCAAGUCGAACGAGACCUUCGGGUCUAGUGGCGCACGGGUGCGUAACGCGUGGGAAUCUGCCCUAGGGUGCGGAAUAACUCGGAGAAAUCCGUGCUAAUACCGCAUAAUGUCUUCGGACCAAAGAUUUAUCGCCCUGGGAUGAGCCCGCGUAGGAUUAGCUAGUUGGUGGGGUAAAGGCCUACCAAGGCGACGAUCCUUAGCUGGUCUGAGAGGAUGAUCAGCCACACUGGGACUGAGACACGGCCCAGACUCCUACGGGAGGCAGCAGUGGGGAAUAUUGGACAAUGGGCGAAAGCCUGAUCCAGCAAUGCCGCGUGAGUGAUGAAGGCCUUAGGGUUGUAAAGCUCUUUUACCCGGGAUGAUAAUGACAGUACCGG
rnacentral:rRNA from 1 species